GUUUCCAUAGUGUAGUGGUUAUCACGUUAAGCCUAACCUGUAUGAAAGGUCCCCAGUUCGAAACUGGGUGGAAACA
rnacentral:tRNA from 1 species